ACAUUUAGACUCUGAGCCCGAAGAGUGGAAUGUGAGUCCCAGGAAGGCAUGAAUGAAGGAAGAAGAUGGACCAUGU